CUAGGUAGUCAGUGUCUCAGCCAGGCUGUCUCCUGGCUCCCUGAACAUUAUGGUGCUGACCACAAACUUUCCUAUCCACCCAUACAAACAUCUAGUUAGUGUGUGUGAUUACUAGCUUCAUGAAUACCUGACCCCUCCACUCUGAAGUAGGAGGAACAGGCCUGUCUGGAUCACUUCUCUGUCCCUAACUGAGCCCGUCUCAUUUAGGCAUUUAGGGAAACUACAGAGCACUGUUGCUUUUUUUUUUUUUUUUUUUUUUUUUUUUUUUUUUGGAGAUGGAGUCUCGUUCUGUCGUCCAGGCUGGAGUGCAGUGGUGUGAUCUCAGCUCACUCCAGCCUCCACUUCCCAGCCAGGGCUUGGAGCAGCCUUGGCCACCACUGUGUCCCCUGCAUUGUAACACAUCCAGGCAUAAGAAUAGCCGCCCAGUGACUGCCAAGUGAGUGAACCAGCCUGCUCGGAGCCUGCCUCUUUCCCAAACUGCUCAUUAUCCUGUUACCCCACCCAGCCCACAUGUCCAAAUACACUCCAGAUGCAAAAUAAAAAGCUCUACGAC
rnacentral:sRNA from 1 species